AGAUUUCCUCCUCCUCCUUCUUCUUCUUCUUCUUCGUCUUCUUCUGCUUCUCAGUUGUGUUUUCUUUUGUCACACAUUUACCCGCUUUGCAUGGAAGACGAUCGCAGCUGAUAGCCAUCUGAAAACCAAUGCUGUAUUCAAGGGUUUGCCUCUUAGGUUUCUAUUUCACUGUGUAAGGUUUACACAUUUGGCUUAGACGAUCGGCUGCCGAGGGUAGUGCAAAAUCCAUCUGAAGUUUGCGGUUUCUUUGCUCUCGAUUUGCCCUAUUCCUCGGAGAUGAAAACUUUGCCAUAGAAGUGUCUAACCAAUUCCCUCCAAAACAAAAGGAAGAUUCAAGACUCCACAAGACCAGCAAGUUCUCUGUAGUAGCUAAAGGAGG